CUAUGUGCAAAAAUUCUUUAUGAAUCUUGAGACAUUCAAUUUGUAUCUUUUUACCAAAAUGUUUAUUGGAGAUUUAGGAACAAUGCAGAUUAAAGAAUUGUGCUUGAUGACAUCAUGGCAUGUCACAGUAAUAAGUGAUUAAGUAAUAUGACGUCAUUCAAGGACACAAAGCAUCACUGUUUCAAACACAACCUCCAGUUGCAUACAUUUAUUCUAUACAUUUUCAUUGUUUAGUCUAGC